GACGAACGCUGGCGGCGUGCCUAAUACAUGCCAGUUGAGCGCUGAAGGUUGGUACUUGUACCAACUGGAUGAGCAGCGAACGGGUGAGUAACGCGUGGGGAAUCUGCCUUUGAGCGGGGGACAACAUUUGGAAACGAAUGCUAAUACCGCAUAAAAACUUUAAACACAAGUUUUAAGUUUGAAAGAUGCAAUUGCAUCACUCAAAGAUGAUCCCGCGUUGUAUUAGCUAGUUGGUGAGGUAAAGGCUCACCAAGGCGAUGAUACAUAGCCGACCUGAGAGGGUGAUCGGCCACAUUGGGACUGGGACACGGCCCAAACUCCUACGGGAGGCAGCAGUAGGGAAUCUUCGGCAAUGGACGAAAGUCUGACCGAGCAACGCCGCGUGAGUGAAGAAGGUUUUCGGAUCGUAAAACUCUGUUGGUAGAGAAGAACGUUGGUGAGAGUGGAAAGCUCAUCAAGUGACGGUAACUACCCAGAAAGGGACGGCUAACUACGUG
rnacentral:rRNA from 1 species